rnacentral:rRNA from 1 species
UACGAAGGGGGCUAGCGUUGUUCGGAAUUACUGGGCGUAAAAGCGCGCGUAGGCGGACCACCAAGUUGGAUGUGAAAUCCCAGGGCUCAACUCUGGAACUGCAUUCAAAAACUGUUGGUCUAGAGGCUAGGAGAGGUCAGUGGAAUACCGAGUGUAGAGGUGAAAUUCGUAGAUAUUACGGUGGAACACCAGUGGCGAAGGCGACUGACUGGACUAGUACUGACGCUGAGGUGCGAAAGUGUGGGGGAGCGAAACAGG